CAGGUGGUAGCUCAAUGGUAGAGCUUUCGCUUUGUACGCGGACAGACCUGGGUUCGAUUCCCGGCUGCUUCC
rnacentral:tRNA from 1 species